ensembl:lncRNA
UAUCAGUAUCAGUGUAUGUAUGUGUGUGCGUGUCCAUAGUUCAGCUGAGACAGUGUCCUUUGCCCUGCCAGGCUAAGUAAACAGUCUUCCAGCCAACCCAGGUGGCCUUGCAUGGAAUGGGAAGGAACAGACUCAACACAGCCAUUAUCAGGGAGUUUUUGUUCAGCUCCAGCCUUGAGCCCACAGCUGGUGCCGAAGGGGUAGCUGCAUUAUGAUGAGCAGAUUCUGAGACCUCACGACCACAGCCAACUGAUCUGUGAUGUAUUCCAGCUUCCGCCCAGAGGUGUUGUUCUGAGCAGAUUCUUCCCUGAUGUAUCCCAAUAUCCGCUCAGAGAUGUUAUUCUGAGUAUUCACUGCAGCCGCAAGCGCCUCCAAGCUCUUAACCAUGCUACCUUCCGUGAGCCCAUUCUGAGAAGUCGCGCCUCGUCCCAUCGAUUCAAUCCCAGUGGGCAGCCUUUGGGGGGUUUGAACAGCCGGUUCCGCUUUCUGAAUUCUCCGAUAAGCCAGGGCCAGGCCAGCUCCGAUCAGCAAGAACCCUGUUAUCAUGGUUCCGAAUAGGCAGAUAUUAUUAAUCUUUGAUUUCUUGACGUAUCUUUGUUUAUUCUUACGUUUUGGUUCUGUGUUUCCCCUCUAGUGUAGUCAGGUCUGUGUUUAACCCGCUUCUCUGAGUCUGUGUCUUUGCGUGUGUGAGUUUCCUGUUUUACUUUGAAGGUCCGUGUCUGAUGUCAGUGUAUUCAAUUUACGUUUCCCCUGUCCUGUCAUGUCUGAUUACUCCCAGCUGUGUCCUCCUUCUGUGUCUCAUUCCCUCGUUAUCCCUCUGUGUAUUUAAGCCUUGUGUCUGCCUCUGUUAGUUGCUGGUUCAUCUGUGUUAUUUCCCUGCAUCACCCUAUGUUGUUUCCCCGAGUCUCCCUUUCAGGUCUGUAUGUGUUAGUUUUUCCUAGUUUAGUUAAUCUUACGUUCUGCACUUGCCACCUCCUUUGCUGUUUGUACCUUCACCGUCACAAUAAAGCUCACUCUCAUCAAAGUCAGUGCUUGCAUCUUGGGUCCUACUUCCAACCUCCACUCGUCUGCCACUGCGGGCGUGACAG